UAUGAUGCAGCAGCAAUUUUUAGUGAGCUGGAGUACAGACUAAAAGGAAACAAAAAAGUUAUCCAAAAUUUCUGUGCCAUCCCUUGAGCUAGUAUUAUGACAGUACAAUAAGUGACUAACCCUAUUUUAAUGAAAAACUACAAUCAGGCUAAAAUGACAAAGUAUUUUAUGUACAAUACAAAUUCAAAUACUUGGCACAUAUGGAAGCAACAAAAGACAGCAAGUUUUUUCUGGAGACUACCACUGCACAUGGGAAAAAAAAACAUUUUAAAUGGCAUGAAAAGGGAGAUAAUGUCCCUUAGAGAUAUAAAUGCAGUUCCAGAUUUGAUCAUAAAAAGAACAUACAUUACUUAAACAAAAUGGUAGCUACGUUAUAAAGAAUGUGUUCAUGUUAUAUUUAAUAACAUGAUUUCACUGAAGCUAUACACAAUGAAAAGAGAGGGAGUUUAGUAAGUUAUUAGAAAGUGAUAAACAAUUUUUGUUUAAGUUAUAAUUCAAGUCCAGGCAUUAACACAAAACAACAGGGACGCUAAGUAAGAUUUUUGAAUCAACAAUCAACAAAUCAAUUUCUUUAAACUUAAUCUACACCUUACAAGGAAAAGAGCAAAAGUUCUGAUUUGUUUACAUAUCAAGACGCUAUAGUAGGUUGAUAAUAUUAUAAAAAUAGACUCCAUUAGGUUAAGGAUACAUUUAUUAUGAGUUAAAAAAAUUGUGGCAAAAGAUGGCUAGAUGUUAUGACUGAAACAGGUUUGUCAAGACACACUGUCACAGUUAGAUAUAUAUUGUUAAUUCAAAAUGUUGUUGUUUUU